AUUGAACGCUGGCGGCAUGCCUUACACAUGCAAGUCGAACGGCAGCAUGGAGAGCUUGCUCUCUGAUGGCGAGUGGCGAACGGGUGAGUAAUGCAUCGGAACGUACCGUGUAAUGGGGGAUAACGUAGCGAAAGUUACGCUAAUACCGCAUACGACCUGAGGGUGAAAGCAGGGGAUCGCAAGACCUUGCGUUAUACGAGCGGCCGAUGUCAGAUUAGCUAGUUGGUGAGGUAAAGGCUCACCAAGGCGACGAUCUGUAGCGGGUCUGAGAGGAUGAUCCGCAACACUGGGACUGAGACACAGCCCAGACUCCUACGGGAGGCAGCAGUGGGGAAUUUUGGACAAUGGGGGCAACCCUGAUCCAGCCAUGCCGCGUGAGUGAAGAAGGCCUUCGGGUUGUAAAGCUCUUUCGGCCGGGAAGAAAUCGCACAGGCUAAUACUCUGUGUGGAUGACGGUACCGGCAUAAGAAGCACCGGCUAACUACGUGCCAGCCGCCGCGGUAA
rnacentral:rRNA from 1 species